AGUAUCUGAUUGUAAAUUUACAGUGGGAAAGCACUAAGGUUUGCAUUCGCUAAUACUGUAUCCUCUCUUCAUUGUUGAAGUGCAGGCUCUCAAUCCCCCGAAGAGUUGAUUCAAAUGUCUUUAUAUUUGAGGAGUUUCUACCAGAUGAUGGAAGCUUCUGCUCUGACGAUACAAUAGGCGAACCUCUUUGACCACCAGAAAUUUUGACUGCAGGGCUCAUAUCUGUUAUGCGAGAGCGAGUUGGAUCAGACUCAUUCCCAACAAGUGCUGCAUCACGACUGCUAGAAAUGGCAGGUCUCCUUGAUGAUCCACUAGUCGGUGGAAAAUUUGAGAUGGAUAAUGUAGCGUCUUUGGAUAAGGGUAGAUCAUUUGCAAUAGGACCUUUCUGUUUAGAUAAAUUUACAGAACUUGUAAUUGGUCCAGAGUGUCUCCUUCGGGAGGGAUCUGUUGAAGACCAACCAGGUCGACCAUCUUCCCCACCUGGUUGCCUGUCAACAUUAGCACCAGUAGGGGGCACGCCAGAGCUUGGUCCAGCACCAGGGCCAAGUGCACGAGUAGGAGGAUUAGCAAUCUGGGAUUGCUGAUAUUUCAAAAUUGUCCAAUCAAAGACAUAGUCAAACUGGAAACCUUCACGAAUAAAAAGAUCACGGAAAAGCCUU
rnacentral:misc_RNA from 1 species